GACGGAGGAUGCAAGCGUUAUCCGGAAUGAUUGGGCGUAAAGCGUCCGCAGGUGGCAGUUCACGUCUGCUGUCAAAGACCGGGGCUUAACUUCGGAAAGGCAGUGGAAACUGAGCAGCUAGAGUAUGGUAGGGGCAGAGGGAAUUCCUGGUGUAGCGGUGAAAUGCGUAGAGAUCAGGAAGAACAUCGGUGGCGAAGGCGCUCUGCUGGACCAUAACUGACACUCAGGGACGAAAGCUAGGGGAGCGAAUGGG
rnacentral:rRNA from 1 species